UAGGAGGCGUCGAGCGGCGGACGGGUGAGUAAUGCAUAGGAAUCUGCCCGGUAGUGGGGGAUAACUUGAGGAAACUCAAGCUAAUACCGCAUACGCCCUACGGGGGAAAGCAGGGGCUCUUCGGACCUUGCGCUAUCGGAUGAGCUUAUGUCGGAUUAGCUGGUUGGUGAGGUAACGGCUCACCAAGGCGACGAUCCGUAGCUGGUCUGAGAGGAUGAUCAGCCACAUCGGGACUGAGACACGGCCCGAACUCCUACGGGAGGCAGCAGUGGGGAAUAUUGGACAAUGGGGGCAACCCUGAUCCAGCCAUGCCGCGUGUGUGAAGAAGGCCCUCGGGUUGUAAAGCACUUUCAGCGAGGAAGAAUGCUUGUCGGUUAAUACCCGGCAAGGGAGACAUCACUCGCAGAAGAAGCACCGGCUAACUCCGUGCCAGCAGCCGCGGUAAUACGGAGGGUGCGAGCGUUAAUCGGAAUUACUGGGCGUAAAGCGUGCGUAGGCGGCUUGAUAAGCCGGUUGUGAAAGCCCCGGGCU
rnacentral:rRNA from 1 species